GAAUUCGCCCUUAGAGUUUGAUCCUGGCUCAGGACGAACGCUGGCGGCGCGCCUAACACAUGCAAGUCGAACGAGAGAGAGGGAGCUUGCUUCCUCAAUCGAGUGGCGAACGGGUGAGUAACGCGUGAGGAACCUGCCUCAAAGAGGGGGACAACAGUUGGAAACGACUGCUAAUACCGCAUAAGCCCACAGCUCGGCAUCGAGCAGAGGGAAAAGGAGCAAUCCGCUUUGAGAUGGCCUCGCGUCCGAUUAGCUAGUUGGUGAGGUAAUGGCCCACCAAGGCGACGAUCGGUAGCCGGACUGAGAGGUUGAACGGCCACAUUGGGACUGAGACACGGCCCAGACUCCUACGGGAGGCAGCAGUGGGGAAUAUUGCACAAUGGGGGAAACCCUGAUGCAGCGACGCCGCGUGGAGGAAGAAGGUCUUCGGAUUGUAAACUCCUGUUGUUGAGGAAGAUAAUGACGGUACUCAACAAGGAAGUGACGGCUAACUACGUGCCAGCAGCCGCGGUAAAACGUAGGUCACAAGCGUUGUCCGGAAUUACUGGGUGUAAAGGGAGCGCAGGCGGGAAGACAAGUUGGAAGUGAAAUCUAUGGGCUCAACCCAUAAACUGCUUUCAAAACUGUUUUUCUUGAGUAGUGCAGAGGUAGGCGGAAUUCCCGGUGUAGCGGUGGAAUGCGUAGAUAUCGGGAGGAACACCAGUGGCGAAGGCGGCCUACUGGGCACCAACUGACGCUGAGGCUCGAAAGUGUGGGUAGCAAACAGGAUUAGAUACCCUGGUAGUCCACACCGUAAACGAUGAUUACUAGGUGUUGGAGGAUUGACCCCUCAGUGCCGCAGUUAACACAAUAAGUAAUCCACCUGGGGAGUACGACCGCAAGGUUGAAACUCAAAGGAAUUGACGGGGGCCCGCACAAGCAGUGGAGUAUGUGGUUUAAUUCGACGCAACGCGAAGAACCUUACCAAGUCUUGACAUCCUGCGACGAUGCUGGAAACAGUAUUUUCCUUCGGGACGCAGAGACAGGUGGUGCAUGGUUGUCGUCAGCUCGUGUCGUGAGAUGUUGGGUUAAGUCCCGCAACGAGCGCAACCCUUACUGUCAGUUACUACGCAAGAGGACUCUGGCAGGACUGCCGUUGACAAAACGGAGGAAGGUGGGGAUGACGUCAAAUCAUCAUGCCCUUUAUGACUUGGGCUACACACGUACUACAAUGGCGUUAAACAAAGAGAAGCAAGACCGCGAGGUGGAGCAAAACUCAGAAACAACGUCCCAGUUCGGACUGCAGGCUGCAACUCGCCUGCACGAAGUCGGAAUUGCUAGUAAUCGUGGAUCAGCAUGCCACGGUGAAUACGUUCCCGGGUCUUGCACACACCGCCCGUCA
rnacentral:rRNA from 1 species